GCCUUCGUGGUGUAGUGGUCAGUACGCUGGGCGCGUAUUCCAGAGGUCCGUGGUUCGAGUCUCGGCGAAGGCG
rnacentral:tRNA from 1 species